rnacentral:rRNA from 1 species
AUUGAACGCUGGCGGCAGGCCUAACACAUGCAAGUCGAACGAGUGGCGGACGGGUGAGUAAUGUCUGGGAAACUGCCCGAUGGAGGGGGAUAACUACUGGAAACGGUAGCUAAUACCGCAUACCAUCGGAUGUGCCCAUAUGGGAUUAGGUAGUAGGUGGGGUAACGGCUCACCUGGGCGACGUUCCCUAGCUGGUCUGAGAGGAUGACCCGCCACACUGGAACUGAGACACGGUCCAGACUCCUACGGGAGGCAGCAGGGGGGAAUAUUGCAAAAUGGGCGCAAGCCUGAUGAAGCCAUGCCGCGUGUAUGAAGAAGGCCUUCGGGUUGUAAAGUACUUUCAGCGAGGAGGCGUUACUCGCAGAAGAAGCACCGGCUAACUCCGUGCCAGCAGCCGCGGUAAUAC